rnacentral:lncRNA from 1 species
CCAUUCCACUCGAUUUGAUUCCAUUCCAUUGCAUUCCAUUCCAUUCCAUUCCAUUCCAUUCCGUUCCAUUCCAUUCCAUUCCAUUCGGGUUGAUUCUAUUCAAUUCCUUUACACUCCAUUCCAUUCUAUUCAAUUCCACACAAUUCCAUUCCAUUCCAUUCCAUUCCAAUCGGGUUGAUUCCAUUCCAAUCCAUUCCAUUCCAUUCCAUUCCAUUCCAUUCCAUUCGUUUCCAUUCCAUUCCACUCGUGUUGAUUCCAUUCCAUUCCUUUCCAUUCCAUUCCAUUCCCUUCCAUUCCACUCGUGUUGAUACCAUUUCCAUUCCACUCGAUUACAUUGCCUUCCAUUCCACUCGGAAUGAUUCCAUUCCAUUCCAUUCCCUUCCAUUCCCUUCCAUUGCAUUCCAUUCCAAUCCAUUCCAUUCCAUUCCAUUCCACUCGAUUUGAUUCCAUUCCAUUCCUUUCCAUUCCAUUCCAUUCCGUUCCAUUCCAUUCCAUUCCAUUCGGGUUGAUUCUUUUCAAUUCCUUUACGCUCCAUCCCAUUCUAUUCAAUUCCACACAAUUCCUUUCCAUUCCUUUCCAUUCCAUUCGGGUUGAAACCAUUCCAUUCCAUUCCAUUCCACUCCAUUCCAUUCCAUCCCAUUCCAUUCCAUUGCAUUCGGGUUGAUUCCAUUCCGUUCCAUUCCAUUCCAUUGCAUUCCAUUCCAAUCCAUUCCAUUCCAUUCCAUUCCAGCCGAGUUGAUCCCAUUCCAUUCCAUUCCAUUCCAUUCAUUCCAUUCCAUUCCAUUCCAUUCCGUUGCAUUCCAUUCCAUUCAAUUCGGGGUGAUUCUAUUCAAUUCCUUUACACUCCAUUCCAUUCCAUUCCAUUCCACACAAUUCCAUUCCAUUCCAUACCAUACCAUUCCAAUUGGGUUGAAUCCAUUCCAUUCCAUUUCGUUCCAUUCCAUUCUAUUCCGUACCAUUCCACUCCUUUCCAUUCCAUUCCAUUCUAUGCCAU